rnacentral:piRNA from 1 species
UAACACUGGAUGUAUCAACCCCAGGAUGUU